rnacentral:rRNA from 1 species
AAGUCGAACGGCAGCACGGGAGCAAUCCUGGUGGCGAGUGGCGAACGGGUGAGUAAUGUAUCGGAACGUGCCCAGUCGUGGGGGAUAACGCAGCGAAAGCUGUGCUAAUACCGCAUACGAUCUAUGGAUGAAAGCGGGGGAUCGCAAGACCUCGCGCGAUUGGAGCGGCCGAUAUCAGAUUAGCUAGUUGGUGGGGUAAAAGCUCACCAAGGCGACGAUCUGUAGCUGGUCUGAGAGGACGACCAGCCACACUGGAACUGAGACACGGUCCAGACUCCUACGGGAGGCAGCAGUGGGGAAUUUUGGACAAUGGGCGCAAGCCUGAUCCAGCAAUGCCGCGUGCAGGAUGAAGGCCUUCGGGUUGUAAACUGCUUUUGUACGGAGCGAAAAGGCUCUCUCUAAUACAGGGGGCUCAUGACGGUACCGUAAGAAUAAGCACCGGCUAACUACGUGCCAGCAGCCGCGGUAAUACGUAGGGUGCGAGCGUUAAUCGGAAUUACUGGGCGUAAAGCGUGCGCAGGCGGUUUUGUAAGACAGAUGUGAAAUCCCCGGGCUCAACCUGGGACCUGCAUUUGUGACUGCAAGGCUGGAGUACGGCAGAGGGGGAUGGAAUUCCGCGUGUAGCAGUGAAAUGCGUAGAUAUGCGGAGGAACACCGAUGGCGAAGGCAAUCCCCUGGGCCUGUACUGACGCUCAUGCACGAAAGCGUGGGGAGCAAACAGGAUUAGAUACCCUGGUAGUCCACGCCCUAAACGAUGUCAACUGGUUGUUGGGUCUUAACUGACUCA